rnacentral:misc_RNA from 1 species
AACCUCACCCCAACCGGGUUUUUGCCCGGCCGGCGGUGGAUUGGGCGUCUGCCAAUUUACUGGCUCGCCUCAAAAGCAUAAGCGCCUUGGAUGUAAUACGUUUCAUCCUCUUGGGUGGCUGACAACCCCACAUAUCUCAUG